AUCUCCCUCGAGUGUUAGCCAGUUGACUACGUCCCUGAGCCGAUUCAUACCACACCGGGGAUUACAUUUUUAGACUGGUGUGCAUGUCCGCUUGCGGAAAGCCUAAAAGUCUGACGUAAUCUCCACCUUGAACUCUUCGGGUUCAAGGGCUAUGUCAGUAGCGGCACUUCUGGGGAGGCC
rnacentral:other from 1 species